UAAAUGAAAGCCAAAUGUGAGGCAUCUAUUUGUUAAGUAGAAGAUUGUAGAUAUAUUACUCAUUUAG
rnacentral:tRNA from 1 species